CGAAACUACGUGUCAGGAGCGUGGGUAAGCAGGGUGGGGCAGGAGUGGUCCGGAUUUAUUGGGCGGAAAUGGUGAGGAGGCGGCUUAGCAAGUCGGGUGUGAAGACUUCAGGCUUAACCGUGAGCGGCCACUCGAUACUGCUAUGGCGAGAGUCCGGUAGGGGACCACGGAAUUCCUGGUGUAGCGGUGAAAUGCGCAGAUAUCAGGAGGAACACCGAUGGCGAAGGCAGUGGUCUGGGCCGGCACUGACGCUGAAUAGCGAAAGCGUGGGGAGCGAACAGGAUUAGAUACCCGUGUAGUC
rnacentral:rRNA from 1 species